CUUGGUCAUUUAGAGGAAGUAAAAGUCGUAACAAGGUUUCCGUAGGUGAACCUGCGGAAGGAUCAUUACGAAAAGACCCGCGCCUACCCGGCCGGAUCCUUUAACCACUGUGUACCAAACUUUUGUUGCCUCGGCGGGCUGGGCCACCGGUCGUGACCUGUUCUCGACCCGGUUGUCCCCCUCCACGGAGGGAGCCGCUCGCCGCAGGAUUUUUAAAACCAAUUUGUUGAUGAACGUCUAAUUUACCUUUUGCAAAUGCAAGAAUACAACUUUCAACAAUGGAUCUCUUGGCUCCGGCAUCGAUGAAGAACGCAGCGAAAUGCGAUAGCUAGUGUGAAUUGCAGAUUUCAGUGAAUCAUCGAGUCUUUGAACGCACAUUGCGCCCCUUGGUAUUCCUCGGGGCAUGCCUAUUCGAGCGUCGUUUGUUCUCUCAAGCUUAUGCUUGGUGUUGGGGAGCGCCCUUCCUUUGCGAGGCGGCGGCCCUUGAAGUCAUCGGCGGUGCCGGUGCGGCCUGGAAGCGCAGCAGAGAUGCGAGUCUGUAGGUCCACCUCGACACCUGCCAAACAAACGUCACGUACAUCUUUUCACGAAAGACCUCGAAUUAGGUAGGGAUACCCGCUGAACUUGAGCAUAUCAAUAAGCGGAGGA
rnacentral:rRNA from 1 species